AUUUUCGCGUUCUGAGUGCAAAUUCCUUUCGAUCGACUGAAUAAGUACCAGUCAAGCUCUGGGGUCGAUCUAAUCGACUUGCUCUAGCCCAAAAUUUCAGGUCAUUACGCCUAUAAUACUUUACGACAGUCUCCGCAAAUGUCAGUUGUGGAAGUUUUUCCCCCUUGGUAAGAUUUAAUUCCUCAAUUACCCGAUAGGGGGACAGUGGUGAAUAAUAGCUUCUAACGAGAACUGACAAUAGUGGUGAGGUGGGAGAAUAUUUGAUACCGUCGUCUCCGUUCUUGACUGGUUCUCUAUUUUAUUGACCCCGAAGAGAUGAAAAGAAGAAUUGACGUCGGUGAGAUUUGAGCUCAAAACUUAAAAAAUUGGAAGAAAUACUGCAUAGCGUAAAGAAGUGCUGUUAAUUUUGGCGCAAUGCAGGAAAUUUCGUUUCGGUAAUUAAAGCAAGCCAUUACAGUUUUUUCAUUUACUCCCCUUUGCUUCAGUCUGGCUUUCGUCGGGGAACCUGCUACACGUGGUAGCAGAUUAUCUUCGUCUCUUUUCUUCUAAGAAAUUAGCGACUUUUGUAUCAAGACUGCCGUGGAAAAUGAUUGUGUCGAAGAUAAUGAUGAAAUAAUUAUCUGGUGAUACUGGCAUCUACAGACGCUUUUACAUCAACAAUAUUUAAAAUCUGUGAAAGAGGGAUAAACAUCUGCAUAUUUUGGUGUGAGAAGAAUAAAUACGGAAAAUGAAUUAUGUGAAAGCAAGGUUAAAUCUGUAACUCAGUCUAUAAAAGGAUUGAUUCUUCUGCUGCUACAGAAGAAGGAACAGAUUAUCUGGUGAUAUUGGCAUCUACAGACGCUUUUACAUCAACGAUUAUUAAAAUCUGUGUAAAAGAGAUAAACAUCUGCAUAUUUUGGUGUGAGAAGAAUAAAUACGGAAAAUGAAUUCUGUGAAAGCAAGGUUAAAUCUGUAACUCAGUCUAUAAAAGGAUUGAUUCUUCUGCUGCUACAGAAGAAGGAACAGAUUUUCAGAUGACAUCACCCUCUACUGAUGGAGUCGGCUACUCUGGGAAACCUGUUUAAAAUCUCAGCCAAGGCAGCAUCUGCAUCAAUUCCACGAACUAAUUGGGUGAAAUGUUUCACGAGUCACUUAGCUCAGUGGUACAGCAUGCUUAAUUGGGGUUCGAGAAGUAUGGGUUUGGCCAUCUGUUGCGGCUUGCCGUGCAAUUUUUGCACUCAAGAAGACCUGCCCUCCACAGCAGAAGUGUUAUGGUUGCGUCACCUGGUGAAGAAGAUUGACCUGCAAGCGCCCUGUGUCAAUACCACAGAAAAUGCACUUGUAUUGGUGUCAUGUAAAAUAUCUCAUGCUGGUGGCCCGUUAAAAGCACUCCGCACACUGUAAAGCGGUUGGUGUUGGGAAGGACAUCCGGCUGUAGAAACCAAGCCAAGUCAAACUGGAGCCUAAUGCAGCUUCCUAGCUUGCUUGUUCUGGUCAAACCGUCCGACCCAUGCCAGCACGGAAAACAGACACGAACCCUUUAAUGUUAGAUUACUCUGUAAGAUGUUCUGCUUAUUUAUUCAUAUUGUUUUGUGUUAAUCAUGCAUUAGGUGUAAGAGUGGCUGUGUGGUAAGUAGCUUGCUUACGAGCCACAAGGUUCCGGGCUCAGUUCCACUGCGUGGCACCUUGG